AGAGCCCGAUGCGGGGCUCGAUCCCAGGACCCUGGGAUCAUGACCUGAGCUGAAGGCAGAGGCCUUAACCCACUGAGCCACCCAGGUGCCCCAACUUCAUUGAUUUUUAAAAACUAUUUACUUUCCUAAUGACAGUAGAACUCAGGAGAUUGGAACUUGACAUGAAUGUGAGAUUGGCUAUCUGGGGAUACAUUUAAAAAUUUCAAUAUAAAAGCCUGCCUAUUUAUUUCUUGGACUUGAAACCAGAAAGGCAAGCAAUGGGGGCAGGUACUUCUUAUAUUCAACACAUUACUCCUGGUUUCUCUUUUAGUCCAUGAAUUCCUUUUUUCUUUGAUUUUGCUACUGCCAUUUGUUCUUUUGUAAGCUAUAGAGGAUACAAGAAUAAAAUGAAAAUAAUAUGCUCUAGAAGAAUGUCGAACUUGCUUGGUGGGGGGUAGGGGGGAAAUGGUAGUAGGAAACUGCUCCUAAAUACUGUACCCCCCCCAAUUCUUCAUGUUUUGUUUUCAUAGCCAAUGAAGGAGAAGAGAGAGAAAGGGAGAAGCAGAGCUGGGGAGGUGGAAUUUUCACUCUAAAGGGCUAAUUUAAAGAUUUAACUCAGAAAGGUUGCAGAGUACUUGGAGCUGCCUCUCCCAAGCCAGAGUAGACUGAGCUAGAGGUACCACCUGGGCUCCAUAACAGCACAGUUUCAGGGAACAGACCCUUCCGAGGUACAGCUGGGGAUCCUUGGUUGCUAUGGUUCUGAGGAAUAAAUCUCAUCUUCGUAAAGGUAAGCAAAGUUAAGACUAUACCCCGUAAAGUGCAGAAAAAUGGUCUUUGUGAGUGGAUCUGAAAUAUUGCAAAGGGCUAGCUGGCAUCCCUGCCACAGUGGCGGUACUGUGGCUCACAGGUUCCUGUCGGCCCCUACCUCUCACACUGGCCCUGGGGAACAUCUGCUCAGGCCAAAGAAAGGGCCCCUGUAUGGUUUGUGCUGGAUCUAGAACCACAGGGCUUGGGCAGUAAUUAUAAGCAUCUAGGAAGAACGGGUUCUCUUAGGAGAAGGAGGAAGAUAUAUGGCAGCCAGAGAGGUCCUGAGCGAGCCCGGCAGUUGGUGUACCAUUCCGCAUGGCUCCUCCCCUGUGCUGAGCAUCUAGGAAGGCACCUGGGCCUGGAGGGCUUGGAGCCCCAGGAGGACCAGAGGAGAAGGAUCCUUUGGGGAGGAGCCCCCCAGGGGAACAUCAUGAGUCCUGGCAGUCCAGUCAAACUGCGACCACAUUUCAGCAAUCUUUGAAUAAACAUUUCCAUUUUCGUGUUUUUGAACUUACUCUUGUUGCUGCUGCUCUUUUUUGUUUACUUUCUUUCCAAUGUUCCUGUUGAAAAUCUAUGAUUAUUGUUGUAGCUGAAAAAAUUUGGAGGAAAAAAAUGCCUCAGACUGUUGUGGGUUGAAUUAUGUCUUAUGAAAAGAUAUGGAGAAGUCCCAAGUCUGGUACGUAUGAACAUGACCUUAUUUGGGAAUAGGGCCUUUGCGGAUGUUAUCAAUUGGGAUAGGAUGGGUCUUAAAUCCAAUGAGGGGUGUCCUCAUAAAGAGAGAGAGAGAGAGAGAGAGAUCUGGAGACCCAGACAGACUCACAGGGACAAAGCAUACGUGAAGAGCCAAGCAGAGGUUGGGUCAGUGCAUCAUAAGUCAAGGAAUGACAAGGAUUGCCUGCAGCCUCAGAAGAGACCAGGAGAACACUACCCUAGGAGGAAGCAUAACCUUGGUUGACACCUUGAUUUUGGAUGUCUGCCUCCAGAUCUGUGAGAGAAUAAAUUUCUGUUGUUUUUAGUCACCCAGGGACUCUGCUCCAGCCACCUCAGGGCAUUCACACACAGGCUGUGGAACUCAGAGGUCCACUGGUAUGGUGAGUGUCCCACCUGAAGACCCGAGCAGCUAUGUGGAUGGAGCAAAGAUAGAGCUACACUUAGCUGCAGAAUGGCCACGUGUGGGGAUUCAGAGGCACAAAGGCCAUGCAAGUCAUAUUACAUAGAUCCGGCUGGACCUGGAUUUUUUUUUUAAUGUGUGAAAAAAAAACCCACAUAACAUGAAUUUUACCAUUUUUAAGGGUACAGUUUAAUAAUGUUAAGUAUUUUCCCAUCAUCAUGGGACCUGAACAGAUUUUUAGGAUUGGAAGAUACUAUACUUUUUAAGUGUAGUUUGUCACUAAAGUGUUUGUCAUUCAAUUAUUAUAUUCUUCACUCCCUAACGACUGAGCACAAAUCUGAGUCUUAGUGAUGAUUCUCUCUCUUCAGAGAACAAAGUUUACAGAGUCUAGCUGGUUAAUACAAAGUUUUGGAUUUUGAAAUGAUAAUGAGGUCAUCUUUUAGCAACUAAGCUUAAAGCUAACAUCAUGCUUCAUUUGAUAGUGUAUGUUAAAUUGGCUUUGGUCAAUCCAUGCUAGGUUUAAAACAUAAGAGAGAAAGUGUGAGAUAUUCUCAUUCCAUUAGGAUAAAUGUGGCUACUCAAGGCUAUUGCUGUGAUGUAGGAUUCAAUCAAUCUGGCACAGCACCCUCUGCUCUCCAGAAUGAGAAGAAAGCUGACAGCUGGAUGAAGAAAGGCUUUGUGGAGGAAGCAUCAUUAGAGCUGACUUUCAGGAACUGGUCCAGCACUAUUGUGGGCACUCCUGGGGACCUGCUCCAUGAACCACCCAUUAGCCCUUAAAACUUCUGCUUGGAAGUGAUCCAAGGCUCUUCUGCUGCAAUUCCAUUGGCCAAAGUCAGUCAUAUGGUCAAGUUUGCUGCUGUCAGUAGUUCACUGUACUGAUAUGAGAGGUCCUGAGGAAAGAAACUUUCCAGAGCCACUGAGACCCUGGGGCAGAAGAAAUAGCCCUCAAUCCUGCUGUAGCACCCUCUACCCCAUUUUCACAGGAAAAGGAGAAGACAUGAAAAGAGGAUGCUGGCAGGAACAGAACCAGGAGAGGCCUUACUUCUGGAUGGGCACAUGUGAGGGCCGAGGAAGUCCACCGAGGCUGAGAAGCCAGGCGAGGACCUCAGGUACCUAUAAGCACCUCAGGUGACUGGUCUCAGAAAGUCUGGGAAGCACUCACCUAUCCGGUGGUUCUCCGGCUGGACCCCACAGAACCCAGAGAUCUCUCCACGCUUCCUUAGCGCUACCAAAGAAUGCCAUGGGAAUGAAGGGAAGGACUGAGUUUAUGAAACUUGAGUCCUCCCACCUGCUACAGUUGAUCAUGAUGCUGACUUCUGCAGUGGCCCAGCCUCUGAGGACCAAAGCCACCAAACCAGUGGGAGGAGGAUGCUUCGAACCUGAAUGUCGGGAUGGAACUUAACCAGGCUGCCUUCUGAAAUGGAACUUCCAGAAAGCAGCAGACAGACUGUGGAAGAGCCUUCCCAGAAAAAGAAAAGCCUCCUAUAGACCAGCAAGAGCUCUGAUCACACAAAUGAACCAGGAGAAGCAUGUCAAGAAGGGUGAUGGUCAACAGUGUCAAAUGACUCGGAGCUUGAAGAAUAUGGAAAGUGAAUGGACAAAUGCACUUUAGACAUGUCUUCAUCAACCACCAGCGCUGCGCGGGGUGGGAGUGCUUGUCACACCUAAGCACCCCAGGAGCCUCUUCAAACUCUCACCACCCCAGCAGCUGAUUCGGGAGCUCCGGAGUGAGACCCAGGCACGCGCGUUUUCAGAACACUUCAUACAGGAGGUUCUGAAAUGCAUCAUACCCCACACAGUUGAGAAUCACUGAGGUACGUAGGACUGAGUCCUGGAAUUUGCUAUGGUGUGGGAGAAGAUGGCAUGGAAUCGUUUGCAAAAACUGGGUGGGUGUCAAGUGACUCAGGAAAGGAGGACAAGGAGAGCAGGUGGCUGCGCCAGCAGAUUCGGGAAAGCGCGGGGGCUCCCAUUACGUUCAGUUCAGCGGCUGUGCCUCUCCCAACCCCACAAGAGUGCCAGUGACCACACAAGAGAAUCAGAAAACCUAUAAGAGCUCAGAACAACGGAGAUAACCACAUUUUUCUGAAAGAUCAUGGUCAGUCUUCUAAAGACAAGGAAUGCGAAUGGGGAGGAAAAAACACUCUUGAUAAUGAAAAGGCAGUGGGGAAUCCUCAAAAGUUUCAGCAGUUUGUGUGCAGCGCUGCCCUCUGCUGGUUACAUUCGGACCUGCAGCCGUAUGGCAACAGCAGCCUUGACUUCCGGAGUGCACCCCGGAGAGGACAGGUGAGUGGGAACGUCAUUAAGACCACACAUAUGACUCUUCAGGUAAAAGCUGAGCCUGGAAAUUUAGACUCAGAUCUCCCAGUUAGAUAACUAUGCUUAAAAAGAAACCCCACACAAACUUUCCAGGAAAAGCUUCUGUGGCCCUGAAAAAGUUCCUUUGGAAAAAUAUUUUGAUGUGGACUUAAUGGCCACAGUCACCUAGAAAGAAGCUACCGGGGUAGAAACUUCUCCAGGAAUGAAUUAAUGAACGUUGAAAAAGCAUUAGUA